rnacentral:rRNA from 1 species
GACGAACGCUGGCGGCGUGCCUAAUACAUGCAAGUCGAACGAGUGGCGGCCGGGUGAGUAACCCGUGGGAACCUAACCAUCAGCGGGGGAUAACACUUGGAAACAGGUGCUAAUACCGCCUACUGCUGGAUGGACCCGCGGUGCAUUAGCUAGGCGGUGGGGUAAAGGCUCACCUAGGCGACGAUCUUUAGCUGGUCUGAGAGGAUGAUCAGCCACACUGGGACUGAGACACGGCCCAGACUCCUACGGGAGGCAGCAGUGGGGAAUAUUGCACAAUGGGCGCAAGCCUGAUGCAGCCAUGCCGCGUGUAUGAAGAAGGCCUUAGGGUUGUAAAGUACUUUCAGCGGGGAGGCGUUACCCGCAGAAGAAGCACCGGCUAACUCCGUGCCAGCAGCCGCGGUAAUUC